rnacentral:sRNA from 1 species
AACCUUCCCCUCCAUCGUCACUCAUAUAGUUAAUUGGAUUUCAAAACACAGUUGAGCAGAAGAUAGAAAUAUAUAUAUCAAUAUUGAAAAAUCAAUGAGGAAAUAACACACCUCAAUUAAAAAAUAAACUCUUUGUAUUCCAGUCUAAACUGGUUUUUGCAAUUCACCCUUCUUUGUUUAACUAACUAGUUAGUUACUUAUUUUGUUUAUUUGUGAUUGCUUGACUAGUUAUCUAUCCAAAUCACCACUUUUUCUCGGGAGAAACUUGUGAUACUCUGGUGCAUUUUAUAAUAGCACCUUCUCAUCAUCACUCACCCCAAUAAAAGAAAAUGUGUUUGACCGCAACCCUCAACCCAAUCCGGGAUGUAUAAAAUUUUUCAAUGCAAUCGGUGUAGCUCAGCAUUGUAGCCGUUGUAUAUGGACGUUGGGGGGGAAUGACGCAAUGUAAAAUAGUGAUACCUAUAAAAAAGGGCUAAAUGUAAAAUAAUCAUACAGGAGUUGAUAUAUAGAAAACCAAGCAAAACAAGCCCCCGUUCCCCACA